AGAAUGAACGCUGGCGGCGUGCUUAACACAUGCAAGUCGUGCGCGAAGGAGGCUUCGGUCUCUGGAGAGCGGCGAACGGGUGAGUAACACGUGACUAACCUACCUUCGAGUGGGGGAUAACCUCGGGAAACCGAGGCUAAUACCGCAUAACAUCGCAAGAUCAAAGCAGCAAUGCGCUGGAAGAGGGGGUCGCGGCUGAUUAGCUAGUUGGCGGGUAACGCCCACCAAGGCGAAGAUCGGUAGCCGGCCUGAGAGGGCGCACGGCCACACUGGAACUGAAACACGGUCCAGACUCCUACGGGAGGCAGCAGUGGGGAAUUUUGCGCAAUGGGGGAAACCCUGACGCAGCAACGCCGCGUGGAGGAUGAAGCCCCUUGGGGCGUAAACUCCUUUCGACCAAGACGAUAAUGACGGUACUGGUGGAAGAAGCACCGGCUAACUCUGCGCCAGCAGCCGC
rnacentral:rRNA from 1 species